GUUCUGCUCCUCUCCUCUGCAGGCGCUAGGGCGUGGUCACCCGUACAGACAGGGUGCACGAGUUUAUAAAAGGGGCGAUAACGGACAGGGACGUCUGCAUUUGCUCAUCAUCGGCCCCACUCAACAUGCAACGCUGGGUGAGCUCGGACGUCUAGUUUCGCUGAUUGGAGGACAGCUCUAAUUGCCGCUGUCUCCUUCGCUCUGCUCAGCUCUCUUAGCGUGGAUGCGAUUCCAGCGCCCAAGUCUGAUAGCGUGUCAAAUGUCUUCUCCACUGUCGACGGUCCCCGGCAGCGGCCGGCCCGCGACAUCACCACGGCGCUCAUGCGCCGCUGGCGGCUCCGAAGCAUGGUGGCCUCCGGUCUAGGCUACCCGGACCUGGGCUUCGAGGCACUGGAGCUGACCAGCCUGCGGCUGCCGCUGGCCCAGACCUACUCGGCGCUGGAGGUGUCCGUGCCAGACACCUACUGGUGAUGACUGCUGGCGGGCCAGGAUGCGCGCAGCGAGAGACGAUAGCUCACAAAUGUCGGAACUUGGUCCCUUUGUAAAGGAAUAAGCGUCAUGUGGAGCACGAUAUGUGACACUGGCUAUGGCGAGCCUAAUGGGGUGAAUAAUUCAUACUAUUGUACAUGCAAAAAUGAUGUGUUUCAUUUCGUGUUAGUUAUAAAAGGUUUAUAAUAAAUGUUUACCGAAGUGACCUAGCACUCGUGAUUUAGGUAGGUACCUACGUUCAAGUUCGACUUAAAUACAAGUUUUGGAAUA